rnacentral:rRNA from 1 species
UGGGGAAUAUUGGGCAAUGGGGGAAACCCUGACCCAGCAACGCCGCGUGAGGGAAGAAGGUUUUCGGAUUGUAAACCUCUGUCCUAUGGGAAGAAGAAAGUGACGGUACCAUAGGAGGAAGCCCCGGCUAACUACGUGCCAGCAGCCGCGGUAAUACGUAGGGGGCGAGCGUUGUCCGGAAUUACUGGGCGUAAAGGGUGCGUAGGCGGCCCUGCAGGUCAGAUGUGAAAUACCCGUGCUUAACAUGGGGGCUGCAUUUGAAACCGUAGGGCUUGAGUGCGGAAGAGGUAAGUGGAAUUCCCGGUGUAGCGGUGAAAUGCGUAGAGAUCGGGAGGAACACCAGUGGCGAAGGCGACUUACUGGGCCGCAACUGACGCUGAGGCACGAAAGCGUGGGGAGCAAACAGG